UUAUUUGGAGCUUGCCUCCAGGCCUGGGGCCUCCCCUCAUGGACCUCAGUUUCCUUAUCUAGUUUUUUUAAAUUGCGGAGUGUUCCAGCAUUGUUCAAGCCUAAGAAUGCUCAGAAACCAGAGAACCUCUUUCUUCAUGGGAAAUUUUUCUUCUCAGAAGUAACCAAAACAGAUGAAAACCACGGCUAUUCUGGUUGGAAGGUGGUGGGGACAGGCAUUUUCCCUCAGCUUUUCAUCCUGUGUGGUCCUGAGUACUGGAAGAACCUCUAGUUCCUAAAAAAGCACCAUCUGAAAAUCCUGGGAUGAUGAAUUGGAACACGAGCAUUUCCUCUCCUGACAAGCAAGUGUAUAUAGCAGCUCUGCAAGGUUCUGUGUGGCACCUCGGGAAAGUGGUCCAGCGACAGGGGACACCUGGGGAAGAACGAAGCUCACCAGGGCUCAGGAAACAAGGGCUGCACCCUACAGAGGAACAGGAGUGGAGCAGAAGCUCUGUGGCCGUCAAGCAGGAGGUGAGGUUGUCCUGGACCAGCGCAGUGGCUGCUGAAUGGAAAACGGGACAGGCAUAGAGGGUACAUGAAGGUGUGAGUGGUCUUUCCCAUCUACCUCAGGUCCAUGAAACUUCCCCGAAGAGGGGAUUUAUGAUAGGGCUACUCCCCAUCUUCUUCCUGACUAUUUUGAACCGAAGGCAGCUGAGAAACAGCAGACAGAAGAUCUCCGUUUCCUCCCCCAUUUGCCUAAAAGAAGGACAGAAAUUGGUAAAGGUGCCCUCCUCCCUUCUCAACCCGGAAGGAGAGAAGUUCAUUGUUAAUCACAGGAGACAACUUCAGACUCUUGGCAGCCUAGAGACAGCACCGGAGGAACCCACAUAACAAACCUUGCUAACCACCCGUAUCGUCCCAGUGGUCUCCCCAUAUAUUUGCCUUUCCGCAAUUUGCCACUCCUUGAAAACUCAGUCCUUGGCCUUGGCCUUGUCACUUCUCUGCUAGUGUACUGUUCUUUGUUAAGAUGCUACAUAACUGGCCAGGCGCAGUGGCUCAGGGCUGUAAUCCCAGCACUUUGAGAGGCCAAGUCAGGUGGAUCACGAGGUCAAGAGAUUGAGACCAUCCUGGCCAACAAGGUGAAACCCCAUCUCUACUAAAAAUACAAACAUCAGCUGGGUGUGGUGGUGCGUGCCUGUAGUCCCAGCUACUCGGGAGGCUGAGGCAGAAGAAUUGCUUGAAUCUGGGAGGCGGAGGUUGCAGUGAGCUGAGAUCGCGCCACUGCACUCCAGCCUGGUGAAGGAAUGAGACUCCGUCUCAAAAAAAAAAAAGCUACAUAACUGUCCCUUUUGGUUACUCAUCUUUGAGUUUGGUGUGUCUGCACAGUGCACAGUUA
rnacentral:lncRNA from 1 species